rnacentral:rRNA from 1 species
AGAGCGAACGCUGGCGGCAGGCCUAACACAUGCAAGUCGAGCGCCCGUAGCAAUACGGGAGCGGCAGACGGGAUAGUAACACGUGGGAACGCGCCCUUCGGUUCGGAAUAACUCAGGGAAACUUGAGCUAAUACCGGAUACGCCCUUACGGGGAAAGAUUUAUUGCCGAAGGAACGGCCCGCGUCCGAUUAGCUAGUUGGUGAGGUAAUGGCUCACCAAGGCGACGAUCGGUAGCUGGUCUGAGAGGAUGACCAGCAUCACUGGGACUGAGACACGGCCCAGACUCCUACGGGAGGCAGCAGUGGGGAAUAUUGGACAAUGGGCGCAAGCCUGAUCCAGCCAUGCCGCGUGGAUGAUGAAGGCCUUAGGGUUGUAAAGUCCUUUUAACGGGGAAGAUAAUGAUGGUACCCGUAGAAUAAGCCCCGGCUAACUUCGUGCCAGCAGCCGC